AACGCUGGCCGCGUGCUUAACACAUGCAAGUCGUACGAGAACCCGGGAUGGGGUAACUCAGUUAAGUGCGCAACCGGGUGAGUAACACAUGACUAAUCUGCCUUCGUAGUGGGGAAUAUCCUCAUGGAAACCGGGGCUAAGGGCUCAUACCAUCAUUCUGGUGAUAUUUUUGACGAUCAAGCCACGAUGGCCUUGAAGAUGGGGUCGCGGCUGAUUAGCUAUUUCGUGAGGUAACGGCUCACCCACGCCAUGAUCAAUAUCCGGUCUGAGAUGGCACACGAGACAACUGGAACUGAAACACGGUCCAGACUCCUACGGGAGGCAGCAGUGGG
rnacentral:sRNA from 1 species